GAAUAUUGGUCAAUGGUGGGAACACUGAACCAGCCAUUCCGCGUGCAGGAUGAAUGCCCUCUGGGUUGUAAACUGCUUUAGUCUGGGAAGAAGAAGCCUCAUUUAUGAGGAACUGACGGUACCAGAAGAAUGAGCACCGGCUAACUCCGUGCCAGCAGCCGCGGUAAUACGGAGGGUGCAAGCGUUAUCCGGAAUUACUGGGUUUAAAGGGUGCGUAGGCGGUUAUGUAAGUCAGCAAGUGAAAUUCCACAGCUUAACUGUAGGGACUGCUUUUGAUACUGCAUGACUUGAACCAAGAUGAGGUAGGCGGAAUGUGGCAUGUAGCGGUGAAAUGCAUAGAUAUGCCAUAGAACACCGAUUGCGAAGGCAGCUUACUAGACUUGAGUUGACGCUGAGGCACGAAAGCGUGGGGAGCGAACA
rnacentral:rRNA from 1 species